rnacentral:rRNA from 1 species
AUUCCGUAGGUGAACCUGCGGAGGGAUCAUUACACAAAUAUGAAGGCGGGCUGGAAUCUCUCGGGGUUACAGCCUUGCUGAAUUAUUCACCCUUGUCUUUUGCGUACUUCUUGUUUCCUUGGUGGGUUCGCCCACCACUAGGACAAACAUAAACCUUUUGUAAUUGCAAUCAGCGUCAGUAACAAAUUAAUAAUUACAACUUUCAACAACGGAUCUCUUGGUUCUGGCAUCGAUGAAGAACGCAGCGAAAUGCGAUAAGUAGUGUGAAUUGCAGAAUUCAGUGAAUCAUCGAAUCUUUGAACGCACAUUGCGCCCUUUGGUAUUCCAAAGGGCAUGCCUGUUCGAGCGUCAUUUGUACCCUCAAGCUUUGCUUGGUGUUGGGCGUCUUGUCUCUAGCUUUGCUGGAGACUCGCCUUAAAGUAAUUGGCAGCCGGCCUACUGGUUUCGGAGCGCAGCACAAGUCGCACUCUCUAUCAGCAAAGGUCUAGCAUCCAUUAAGCCUUUUUUCAACUUUUGACCUCGGAUCAGGUAGGGAUACCCGCUGAACUUAAGCAUAUCAAUAAGCGGAGGAAAU